rnacentral:rRNA from 1 species
GACGAACGCUGGCGGCGUGCUUAACACAUGCAAGUCGAACGGAAAGGCCCUGCUUGCAGGGUACUCGAGUGGCGAACGGGUGAGUAACACGUGGGUGAUCUGCCCUGCACUUCGGGAUAAGCCUGGGAAACUGGGUCUAAUACCGGAUAGGAGCCAUUUUUAGUGUGAUGGUUGGAAAGUUUUUUCGGUGUAGGAUGAGCUCGCGGCCUAUCAGCUUGUUGGUGGGGUAAUGGCCUACCAAGGCGGCGACGGGUAGCCGGCCUGGGAGGGUGGACGGCCACAUUGGGACUGGGAUACGGCCCAGACUCCUACGGGAGGCAGCAGGGGGGAAUAUUGCACAAUGGGCGCGAGCCUGAUGCAGCGACGCCGCGUGGGGGAUGACGGGCUUCGGGUUGGAAACUCCUUUCGCUAGGGACGAAGCUUUUUGUGACGGUACCUAGAUAAGAAGCACCGGCUAACUACGUG